GGGUGAGUUCCCGGAAGUGACUUUCCCGGGAGACAUGUACGGCUUCUGUACACUCUAAGCACUAAAUCAUUCCAUUAACAUUUUGAUUCACGGAAAGUUAGUGACAUCCAAGCAAAAUUCAAACAGAAUUAUUUCUGUGGAGUUCUGAAGAGAGGCCGGUGACCCCACCAUGAGAGGACCCGCCACUCCGUGACGCAGCAAGGACGGACCCCGUGAGAAAGGAGCCGUGCCCUUGGGCCUCCAUAACCGUGAGCUGAACAGACUUCUAAUCUUUGUAACCAGCUGGCCUCAGGUACACACACACAACCAAAAUAAAAACAAACAAAAACAGA